rnacentral:rRNA from 1 species
UACAGGGGGUGCUAGCGUUGUUCGGAAUUACUGGGCGUAAAGGGCGCGUAGGCGGUCUUGUAAGUCAGAAGUGAAAUCCCGGAGCUUAACUUCGGAAUUGCUUUUGAAACUACAAAGCUAGAGUGAGUUAGAGGAUGGCGGAAUUCCUAGUGUAGAGGUGAAAUUCGUAGAUAUUAGGAAGAACACCGGUGGCGAAGGCGGCCAUCUGGGACUCAACUGACGCUGAGGCGCGAAAGCGUGGGGAUCAAACAGG